UAUUAAUAAUUAUCAUAUAAUUAUUUUUAAUUUACGAAAAUAAAAAAUGUUUGAAAAUCUCAUCGAAUAAUGUAGACUGUCUGAAUGAUCGUCCUUUUCAAAUGAUGUUUAAUCGGAGCGAGAUUAGUCUCAUUUUGAAAUCUUCGAUGCGCUGAAUUCAACGGUGAUCUUGGAUUACUGAUCCGACGGUCAGAUCGUCAUAAAAAAGGCUGACAAGUCAUUGUCAAAUCCAUUUUCUCUCUUCUUUCUCUCACCAGAUCUCCUUCCUCCGGCCACCAUCAGAAGCAAGGAUGGUACCAAAAGACAGUUGGCUUUGUGGGGAUUUGAAUGCCACCUAACUCGUUAGAAAAAGCCACCAGACGACGAUGAUAUCACGCCUAGAAGAUUGAGUUUGAGCGCACAUGUGGGAGGCCAAAACCACUGCCCUUCGCUGCUCACUGCUGUUCACUGCCGCUGAGCCCUUGGUGGUCGCGGGACCUGCUGGACUCUGUAUGAAGGCUCGCUGAUCAAUGGGUGGCUCGUCGUAGCAAGAAAGCAAAGGAGAGAAAGAGUGAGAGAUAAGAG
rnacentral:misc_RNA from 1 species